CCUUUCCUGUCUACAGUAGAGAUAAUAGUAGGACAUGCCUCCUCAGGUAGCUGUGAAUACCAAAUGAGUUAAUGUGUGUAAAGCAUUGAGAGUGGUACCUGGCAUGUGGUAGAGUUAGAUAUACACACCCCUCUGGCAUCAUAGUGCUUAAUAAACAUGGCACUUGUUCUUCUUGGCAUCUCCCCUGUUCGACUGACCCCUCAUUUUUGUGUACGUAGUACAACUGGUGAAGAGGAGCAUGUGGAUUCAGAACAAUUGCACCUCAGUCAUGUGGGAGAAGCAUAAGCAGCAUCUCUGAGGGCAUGCUUCCCCAGUCAGUGGAGUCCAUUUCUGUAUUAAGGAAUUGGGAGCAAGAAAGAAACUACACAGGGUUAGCACCCAGGGCAGAUGUGGGAGUAGAGCUGGGAGUUUGCCCCUGAAUUUAUUUUUUGUCUUCCAAAACAUGAACAAGCUAUAUCCUCUGUCUGCAAGGUGCUUAAGAGUCCCGUGAGGAAGACAGAUAAGAAAUUAGCAACAAUAUCAAGUGUAAAAUACCAACAUACGUGGAAACACAUGGAGAGAGGACACUUAGAAUCACCCAUGGAAAGCAUGGGAAAGAGGGAUGAGGCCAGGAUUAGUAGAUGUAACUGGGCCAGUGAGGAAGGAAGGGCAUUCCAGGCAGAAUGGAUGAACAGCAUGUGCAAAGGCCUGAAUGUAAGAGCAGGUGGGGGAAUCCAGUGUGGAUGAGCGCGGUGUAUGUGAGGAGGGGAACGGCAGUGGGCAGCUGAGGAAGUAAGCAGGAUUUAGAUCGUGCAGGGUCUUCAAACCCAAACGCAGGCAUUCAGAGGGUUCUGGUGGCUGUAGGAAGACUUAGGAGAGUGUUUAACAAGAAGAAUCUGGGGUCAUGUUUGUACAAUAGAACUUAGGUUUGGCCACAUUUCUGAGAACUAAGAAAUGUGAGCAAGACUGAGUGCUAGAACUUCUGCUUUAAAAUACACAACAGUGGCUUUCUGUUUUCCAAAGCACUCAGCACUGUGAUGCUCCUUUAGCUAAAAGCCAUAUAUAGUCUGCUGCUGGCAUUAGGUGGCAAGACGUAAAUGUAACAGGUGUAAAUAAGAUUUGCAAUCCAGCUCAGAGGAUAAUGAAACUGAGAUUGAUGUUUUUCCAGUCUUUUGCUUCCAUAAAGAACACAGCAGCCAACAACCUUGUUCAUACGUCUUUUAGGCACUUGUCCAAUUAUUUCCUUAGGAUAAAUUCCUAGAAAUGGGUUUGGUGUUUUAGGGCUUUUGAUAUAUAUGGUCCCAGAACGAUUUGGAUGUCUGCAAUCAUGGUAGAUAAACAGGUGCUGAAUUUUGUGGCAAUGCUGAAAGCACAGAUAGAGAAAUGAAGUAUGCAGUGAGCAAUCAUGCCUGGACAGGCACACAUGUCGAAGUUUUCUCUUUGGACGUCUUUGUGCCACUGUUUCUCUUCCCUGGUUGCGGUAAGACUUGAUUGGAUGAGUACCUGAGACUGACGGGGUGUUUGUCUAUAAUGACAAGUGCUUGACUGUAGCAGCAAAUGAUGAGCGGCCCUAGGGAGACAUCACCACCCACUCGAGAGAGAUCCAUGAAGGGUUUAUGACCCGUUUGAAUCCUGAUCGAGCAUCACUGGCUUGACCCUCAGGGAACCAAUUGUCUGGAAUACUUGCUCUGUCAGUCUGAGCGAUGUGCUUAGAAUCCCUUGGAAACCUAGGAGCCCGAUUGCUUGUAAGCCACAGACUGAAUUAUCAAGACGACCUGGAGACUGGAGCUGUGUUACUGCCACGUCGCACAGCCAUGUUUGCUAAGUAUAUUGAUGAGCUCAUCAGACCCUGUAUCCAAUAUGUAGCUUACCACAUUCAACUAUAAAUUAUUUGAAAUUACAAGGCAAUGAGUUUUUAACCUUGAUCAUACCAAAUAAAAUGGUUUUGUCUUUGCCUUUUGGCCCUUGUCUACAGUAGGAAUGUUUACUUGCCAAAUACAAUGCAACAAAUUUUAAUGCUUUAUAGAAAUGUAAACACGUACAUAAAUUGUUGGCUAGUAGCUAUGAAAUGUGUGUCUUAUCUUCAGAGUUUCCUCAACUGUGUGUGGAGGGCAGCGGGCAUCAGAGGACAUGACACAACCAGGAUAGAGAGCAUCACAGGCAUACAGGGUGGGCCAGCUUGGUUCUCACUGCCCCAUUUCACCUGGACGUCCCCUUGAAGAAAGGCAGGAAUGAAACAGGACAGCUGUAUGGUCUCAAGACUGUGUACUUUCUGCUGGUAGUUACCCACUAAGCCUCCUCCCUGAGUCCUAACUCAUGUACCACACUGGACGUGGUUCUUUGGUAAAAAAGAAGUGAGCUCUGCACUCUCUUAGCAGCCAGGCUAGGACCAUUGUUACUAAAGAUGAAGGUAGAGCACCUUUAUGGUUAGUAGAGGCAUUGCCUGGUGGUCCAUAGUCUCUAUUUCCUUUUUUCUCUUUGCUCAUGAAGAUGUUCUUGUUAAAAUCCUCUCAUGGCGGUGUGGGUCACCAGUGGCCACUGGUAAGGAACAAGGUAUAUUUUGCACACAGAGAGGCUGCUCCUGGCUAUUUUUAAAAGCUUAAAAGCUAAUGACCAGAACCCUCAGCCAGAGAACAGUGGUCACGAAAGCUUCAUUAAAUAUUAAAAAUGGUUAGCUAAAACUAAAAAAAAAAAAAAAAAGAACUCCUGUAUAAGUAGGUGCAGGAAACAUCAAUAUUGCUCAUUGAACAGUCUGUUCUUCUAAUUUGAAAAGAACAACUAUUUGUCAUGGUUCUCGUCCUUGAGCUGGCAGUUACCUAAUUAAAUGCAUAUGAAAUUCAAAAGACUUUACUAAGGGACAGUAAUUUUCCUCGGUGGUUUUUAAAGUUGCAGGGACAAAAGAAUUACGUUGAGCAGAUAAUGGAUGGAUUCUUCCAUUGUGUGUUGAGGUCCUGAGUCGACUAAUCAUGCCAUGGUUAUUCAUCAAUGUGAUACUUUAUAAUUUGAAAUUAAAGGCACCCCUUUCAUUUAUCGCUGACUCUAGGAGUCCUAUUGGUUCCAAUUUUUUGAAGACUGUGACCUGAGUGGGGAAGCUGCCCCUAGAAAAGACUGCAGCACAAGACAAGACAAAGCUUUGGCUUGGGGUAGGUCAUUGUGUACCCAUGGGAAACAUCCUAAGCUUUGGUCACUUUUGUAAUUCUCUGUGUAGGAGUGUUUAGGAUUUGAGAGAUUCAUGUCUCCACUCAGCCAGAUGAUCUUGUUUUGAUUGUAACUGAUUAAUGUGUUGGUUACUCUCUCACCCUUCCCUGUCUCUACCCCUUCUGCCUUAGUCUGUGUUGAGUCUCUCUGCCCCUUUCUGUCCUGUGGACCACAUUGCCCAGGGUCCUUAAAAUUGGAUCUAACGUGAUGGUUAGGUAGGAAAUCAGAGGAUUGGAGCAGAAAGCAGUUGGAAUUCUCUUUCCUGUUCCUUUGACUGAGCAUUGUAGCUGGCAUUGGCUACCCUUCCUCGUUGCCCUCCUCCACCCUCCAGCCCUCCCUGUAUCACCACAGCCUCCCCUUGUCCUCUGAGUCAUAGGGAUGCCUGGGCUUCCAGCUGUUGCUACUUUGAUUGUCUCCACAUCUCUUGCCAUCUGACAUUUGAACUGAAAAAGGUGACAAACCCCCAAACUAGAUCCUGGGAAUAUAUUGUAAAUAAGGUGGGCAUUGUCCAUUAUCUGCUGCCGGAGAUGCAACAGUGAAAGAGACAACCCCAAGUCCUUUCCCUUGUGGAGUGCAUUUUUGUGGGGGAUAAAGAAGCCGAUAAGGAAGAUGAGAUAUAAAACAGACUCUGUGUUAUAGAAUGAUAAGUCCUAGGGAAAGAAAGCAAGCCAGGAAGGAGGAUGAGCAGUGUUGUGAGUGGAGGGUGCUCUAAUAUACAUGGAGUGGCUGAAAAGACCUCAGUGAGGACAGCUUAAUCCUCAUUCUCCACAUUUGUUUCCUUCAUUUCCCACUUCUUGUCUUCUCUCACUUAUGUAAUUAGCAUUGCCAGAUUCUAUCAAAUUUAAGUCUGGAAAGUAGAGUGUUAUUUUUCAGUUACUGGGGUCCACCAGUAAUGGAAAGGUGGUAGGAAAAAUGGCAGUGUUUCUUUAGCCUUGGAAAAUGUUUCCUCUAGACAGCAUUUUCACGUGUCUCUUCUUCAACAAAUGGGAGAUACGGUUACAGUGAAGGGAUGUCUUACUCCAGCUCCAACCCUCAGCUGAUGGUUACUACUUCUAGUAGUUCUUGGCAAAGGCGGAGAAUUCUGGUGAGGGAGACCAUGCAUCUUUUCAACAUUUAUUGUGUGAUGGGCCGGCGGAGGGAUGCACGUAAAAUUUAGGACGUUGGCGAAUUUAUGGCUAGCUGAUUGUCAGAUGGUUAUCUGUUUUGUUUUAAGUGAGAUGAAGUGCCCACACUAGGUAUAUUUGAAUCUUGUUUUCCUUUAAUUACAAAAUUUAGGUAGAAACCUUCUGUCACAUGGAUGAUGGUUAUAUACAUUUGGAAACAUUACAAGAACAAUUGUAGAGUCCAAACGUAAAUGCAUUCAAUGAAAGUAAGACAUAACAUGUUUGUCACCCUGUAAAGCUAAUCUUCUUGGUCCUCUCUACUCCAAUAAAUGCCCUUCUUGCAGGGCAGAGGACACUGAUUCAGUUUCAUUCUGAAGUGGCCAUUGUAGUUUGACUCUGUAUUAUUAAUUCCCUUUGGUUUUGUUUAUUACAUUUGAAAUUUCUUCAACUAUUGGAAAUUUAGCUACAUAUCUAUAGUACUGUUUUACUAACCAAAUCCUAUUAGAUCCAGAGUAAAAAAAAUUAUUUUUAGCAACAGAAUACAUUUCUGUUGGAAAACCGCAACUCUCAAGGCAUUUCUAUAUGCUAAAUUAUUGUUCUGUAGCUUUCAUUAAUUAGAUUUCUAUAAAAGAAAUUUAAAACAAAACACUUUCACUAAAGGAAAAACGUGUUUAAAACAUUUCAGGUCUUAGUUUGUUUGUGCAGAUGUGUAAGGAAUUUAUUUUAAAUAAAUUAUGUCCAUUGCUUACAUACUGCAUAUUAUUUAAUUUAUCAAAAGUUUAGUGACAGUCUAAACUUAAUAUCUGGCUUAAGGGGUUUAAUACUGAUAACUUAAUUUGGAACCAUCUUUGUCUUCAAAAACCCUCUGGCUACUUAACAGAAUGCAAUAAAAUAUAAUUAUAAAAUAUGUAGCAUGCCUUCAUAUUUCUAAAUUUCCAGUGUGUGUUUUUCUUCCUUUAAUCACUAUAAAAAUAUGUACAUGAAUAAUAUGAAAGAACUCCAGUUUGCUAUUUCAUUCUCCAUCUAUAAAGUGCUGCUAUGUUCCUUGGCAAGUACCAAGUUACGAGAGUUAGAGGGACAUGGUGGAAAGAAUCUCGUCACCUUUAUAUGACCUUAGGAAUGAAUUCAUAAAUACCUAGAAGGCUCAAGAUCAUCAAGUACUCUUCACUGAUGCCUUGUAAUUAAGAAAAGGGAAAAACCUUACUCUCUAGAGGAUUUAAAUCCAUUGAAAGUACUGGUUUAGUAACCAUGUUAACCAAAGAAAAGAAAAAAACGAAUGCACCGAAAUAUCAGCCAAGUAAAAGGAGACGUGAGUUUAAAGUGAUUACCUUAUAGAAAGCAAAAAGUUAAGAAGUCAAAUAAUGAAAAAUCCUCAAAGAAGCAAAUCAAGCUAUAUAGUAGAUUCCUAAGGUUCUUUGUGUGCAAUGUAUUUGUAACUGUGCAGUAGCAGGGCCUCUCAGGAAGAGGAAGCUUUACCUCCUUAAUCCUCUUUCAACCGGAGCAGCUGUGUUGUCAAUACCACUGUUCGAAACUGGCAUUUCUGGCAAGCUUGGGAAGUUAUUCCUUUCUCUUCUUUCAGCCCUGCUUGUUAGCCAAAGGGAAGUUUUACCACCUUUCCAACACUAAUCUUUUUAACAGUUCGUGCACAGGCCCCAGGCUCAGAGCCUCAGGCAGGGAUCCCAUCUAUCAAGAGUUUAAUCUCUCUUUUGUUUGGAGGUUAACUCUCUAUCUGUGACAGAUUGGAAGAACGUCGUG